GACGAACGCUGGCGGCGUGCUUAACACAUGCAAGUCGAGCGGUAAGGCCCUUCGGGGUACACGAGCGGCGAACGGGUGAGUAACACGUGGGUGACCUGCCCUUAGCUCUGGGAUAAGCCUGGGAAACUGGGUCUAAUACCGGAUAUGACCUCAUGACGCAUGUUGUGGGGUGGAAAGCCUUGUGCGGCUAGGGGAUGGGCCCGCGGCCUAUCAGCUUGUUGGUGGGGUGAUGGCCACCAAGGCGACGACGGGUAGCCGGCCUGAGAGGGCGACCGGCCACACUGGGACUGAGACACGGCCCAGACUCCUACGGGAGGCAGCAGUGGGGAAUCUUGCGCAAUGGGCGAAAGCCUGACGCAGCGACGCCGCGUGAGGGAUGACGGCC
rnacentral:rRNA from 1 species